AACGAACGCUGGCGGCGUGCCUAACACAUGCAAGUCGAGGGAGAAAACCCGCAAGGGCGAGUAAACCGGCGAACGGGUGCGUAACACGUGGAUAAUCUACCUCGGUGACCGGGAUAACUGGCCGAAAGGCUUGCUAAUACCGGAUGAGCCCACGACGUCUUCGGACGACGAGGGAAAAGGCGGCCUCUGCAUGCAAGCUGUCACAUCGAGAUGAGUCCGCGGCCCAUCAGCUCGUUGGCGGGGUAACGGCCCACCAAGGCAACGACGGGUAGCUGGUCUGAGAGGAUGAUCAGCCACACUGGAACUGAGACACGGGUCCAGACUCCUACGGGAGGCAGCAGUGGGGAAUCUUGCGCAAUGGGCGAAAGCCUGACGCAGCAACGCCGCGUGUGUGAUGAAGGUCUUCGGAUCGUAAAGCACUGUCGCGAGGGAAGAGACGCCACCGGAUAACACGCGGUGGUCGAGACGGUACCUCGAGAGGAAGCACCGGCUAACU
rnacentral:rRNA from 1 species